rnacentral:rRNA from 1 species
UACGGAGGGGGCUAGCGUUGUUCGGAAUUACUGGGCGUAAAGCGUGCGCAGGCGGCCAUUCAAGUCAGGGGUGAAAGCCCAGAGCUCAACUCUGGAACUGCCCUUGAAACUGUAUGGCUUGAGUAUGAGAGAGGUGAGUGGAAUUCCCAGUGUAGAGGUGAAAUUCGUAGAUAUUGGGAAGAACACCGGUGGCGAAGGCGGCUCACUGGCUCAUAACUGACGCUCAUGCACGACAGCGUGGGGAUCAAACAGG